rnacentral:rRNA from 1 species
CCCUUAGAUGUUCUGGGCCGCACGCGCGCUACACUGUUCGACGCAGCGAGUCUUAACCUUGACCGAAAGGUUUGGGUAAUCUUCAGCAAAGUCGAACGUGAUGGGGAUCGAUCAUUGCAAUUAUUAAUCGUGAACGAGGAAUUCCUAGUAAGUGCAAGUCAUCAGCUUGCGCUGAUUACGUCCCUGCCCUUUGUACACACCGCCCGUCGCUACUACCGAUUGAAUGGUUUAGUGAGAUCUCUGGAUUGACGCUGGCUAGGGGGCGACCCUUGGCCAGACUGUUGAGAAACUGCUCAAACUUGAUCAUUUAGAGGAAGUAAAAGUCGUAACA